GCGGAAGGAUCAUUAUUGAAUGAACUUGGUAGAUUGUAGCUGGCCAUUUCUGUGGCAUGUGCACGUCUAUCAUUUUUAAUCUUUCCACCUGUGCACGUUUUGUAGAUCAUUGAAUUACCUAUCCAAGGUGACUUGGGGAUGGGGAUUGCUGUGUAGAAAUACUUGGCUUUCCUUGGAUUUUCAAGAUCUAUGUUUUUUCAUAUACACCAUAAAAAUGUUAUAGAAAGUUAUUAUAUUGGCACCAGUGGCCUAUAAAAAGUAUAUACAACUUUCAGCAACGGAUCUCUUGGUUCUCGCAUCGAUGAAGAACGCAGCGAAAUGCGAUAAGUAAUGUGAAUUGCAGAAUUCAGUGAAUCAUCGAAUCUUUGAACGCACCUUGCGCUCCUUGGUAUUCCGAGGAGCAUGCCUGUUUGAGUGUCAUUAAAUUAUCAUGCUUUUAUCAGCUUUAUUGUUGGGAAAGGCGUGGAUGUGGGGGAAAAUUUUUUUGCAGGUUUUUUAUCUAGAUCUGCUCCCCUUAAAUGUAUUAGCUGGUUGCUUGUUCAGACUUGUCUAUUAGUGUGAUAAUUAUCUACGCUGUGGACUGUCUGUGCUUUAAUGUAGCACCUGCUUAUAAACAGUCCUUUGGGACAAUCUAUAUGACAAUUGACCUCAA
rnacentral:rRNA from 1 species